AUUAAACGCUGGCGGCAUGCCUUACACAUGCAAGUCGAACGGCAGCACGGGGUGGUAACACUCUGGUGGCGAGUGGCGGACGGGUGAGUAAAGCAUCGGAACGUGCCCUGGAAUGGGGGAUAACGUAGCGAAAGUUACGCUAAUACCGCAUAUUCUGUGAGCAGGAAAGCAGGGGAUCGCAAGACCUUGCGUUCGAGGAGCGGCCGAUGUCGGAUUAGCUAGUUGGUGGGGUAAAGGCCUACCAAGGCGACGAUCCGUAGCGGGUCUGAGAGGAUGAUCCGCCACACUGGGACUGAGACACGGCCCAGACUCCUACGGGAGGCAGCAGUGGGGAAUUUUGGGACAAAUGGAGGGAACUCUGAACCAGCCAUCCCGCGUGCAGGA
rnacentral:rRNA from 1 species